rnacentral:rRNA from 1 species
AUUGAACGCUGGCGGCAUGCCUUACACAUGCAAGUCGAACGGUAACGCGGGGCAACCUGGCGACGAGUGGCGAACGGGUGAGUAAUGCAUCGGAACGUGCCCAGUAGUGGGGGAUAGCCCGGCGAAAGCCGGAUUAAUACCGCAUACGACCUACGGGUGAAAGCGGGGGACCGUAAGGCCUCGCGCUAUUGGAGCGGCCGAUGUCAGAUUAGGUAGUUGGUGGGGUAAAGGCCUACCAAGCCUACGAUCUGUAGCUGGUCUGAGAGGACGACCAGCCACACUGGGACUGAGACACGGCCCAGACUCCUACGGGAGGCAGCAGUGGGGAAUUUUGGACAAUGGGCGCAAGCCUGAUCCAGCCAUGCCGCGUGCGGGAAGAAGGCCUCGGUGUAACG